ensembl:lncRNA
CCCUUAUCAUAACAGAUAGUAAGAGUGGAUUCCAGAUAAGGAUGACCCAGUGGUGUCGGUACACAACGUUGGUAUGGUUAGAUAGCACACAAGAAACUACACUUACUAUAUUAACAAUAACCUAUAUUAUAAAUAAGUAGCGCAGAACCUGCUGAUGUGCCAAGCCUAAGUGUCUUUCCAAAGGUUAGGGGAGCUAAUGCAAUUUCUGAGGCCAUAGAGAACAUAUCACCAAACCAUUUCUUCCUUUUUGUUUUUCAACUUGUGACUUGUUUUCAUUUUUAGAGAAAAGCCAACUAGCCCAAUGGGGGAGGUCCUUCUGUGUAUAUGUUUGUCUUAUUGGUUGAUAAAUAAAGCACUGUUGGCCAAUAGGGAGGCAGAUUAGGCGGGGCUAGGAGAGAAGGAUUCUGGGAAAUGUAGGAAAGGAGAGAGUUGCCAUGUGAUCCCAGGAAGAGAGGACACAUAAGGCUGUCGCCCUCGUUUCCUUUCAGAGGAAGACAAAUAGGCAUCUGCAGCAAACGAAGUGCAAUACCCUCCACCUUUGCCUGAAUUAGCCCGGGAACAUGUGUGAGAUUUGCAGGGCAACAAAUCAUGCACAGAAUAUCUGGACAUGUUUCCUAUCACUUCAAAAAACAAGUCCUGGAAACAUGGCGAUUCAAGCAAGUCCUGGGUCCCGCUUGUAGGUCUGCAAGUCACAAGUCCUGCUUGGGUCCAGCUGUAUUCUCUGUUUCUUAGAUUUUCAUCAGGCUGACCUCCAGGUGUCAGUCAGCUAGGGACUCCUCCCAGAGGCCACCCACAGUUUCUCCCCACAAAAUCUUCUCAAGGCCAACAGGAAAGUCUCUGCAGCUUGGUUGAAUCUCCCUUACCUCUCCAUGGUUCACUCUGGACCUCCUUUUAUGUGGUCCACCUAGUUAGAUCAGACUCAUGGAAGAUACGCAGCCUUUAACGUCCAGCUGGUUAACAGUCGCAGGCACUGAUUACUCUCGAGUAAACAAAGUAGGGUUUAAUUUAUUACCUACAACAGGCACCGUGACUGCAGGUAAUGGUGUGAAGGAGUUCUACGGGGCAGUUCAGCAGGGUGACAGAGAGGAGGUCUUGUGAAAGGGACAUCUGGGCUGAGACCAGAAAGAGGAGAAGGAAGAACAGUCUAGGUGGCAGCUAGUGUCCGAAACAAAUUCAAGAAUAGGUUGUCUUCCUAGGGAGAAUUUUUAAAAAAAUUUGUUUGUUCUAGCAUCUCUGGAUACCUGGUGUAUUCCAUGACUUCCAGAUGCAGAAGGUAGUAUCCUUGGCCGUCGACAAGGGCCCUCCAUGCCCCUCCCUUCCCUCAACUACAACUGGUAGGAUUGAUGGCACACGAAGUGUACUCUUGGAUCACUGCUAUGUUUGAGCAAUGCAUCACAACCAUUACCCAGCUGCAUGCACUAAAAUGCCUUUCCAUACAUGGGUGCGUGUUACCCUGGAAAACUGAAGGCUUUUAUUUCAAAUUGGUUUACUUUGAAGUUUUCUUUGGUGCACAUCCUACUAUGCCAUAAGAGAAGUCUAUUCCAGGUUGGGAUACUGCUCACAUUUGCAAGCAUUUCAGCACACUAAGCUGCAUUGACAGAAACUCAUGAACAUGCAAGUAGUGAAUUUUGUGUUUGUUUCCUUCCUGCCUAUCAAUGUCUUCCUUCUACUUGAUUAAUAAAUCGUUCAGCAAUACCUGAAAACCUACAUCAGGAAUGUGCUCAGCACCGUCUCACUUCCUUAUCCCUGGGAUGCUUUCAUUCAUCCAAGGCCUUUCCUCCCAUCCUCUGAACAAUCUGCUAGUUUUCCUACUAAUUUCCUGUUCAUAUUCUCUAGUUCUACAUAGCCACCAAAUCACCUUCCUGAAAACUGAAAAAAGAAACUUUUUUUUUCCUCCUGCAUGUCCUUUACAUUCCAGUGGAACAGAGUUGGCCAAGAGCAAAUAAACAAAUACCAAACUUAGAAAACCAACUACCAAACUUCCAGACAGAAGACAUGUGACAAGGAAUCAUAAAAAAAAAAAAAAAAGGAAAAGAGCCAAGAAUGGUGGCAUAAACUUUUAAUCCCAGCACUCGGGAGACAGAAGCAGGUGAAUCUCUGUGCGUUCAAGGUCAGCCUGGUCUACAGAGUGAGUUCCAGGACAGCCAGGGCAAUUAAACAGAGAAACCCUGUCUGAAAAGAAAAAACAAAAACAAAACAAGGCAGGCUAAGGACAGAGAGGGAGUGGUUUUAGAUACACUGGUGACAUGAAUGUUAUUAUCCCAGCUAAAAUCAAACCUGGUCAAAUACACUUGGGUUUAAUGUCUUGAGACACUGCAGUGACUCUUACUAGGAGAGCAUUGGGGAAGCUUCAGACUCUGGCUUGGAAGGUGAUUCUGAAAGCUAGUUAGAGGACAUCAGAAAGCAGAAGAGUCUCUGAAUGGGCAUUUUGACAUGUUCUAUGUAGAAGACAAGAACACUGUAAGUGGUCAGGACACAUGCUGUCUAGAGACGAGAACAGGGCAACACUGUCAUUGUAAAUGGCCAGAAAACAGGAGUCACUUACACUAGCUAAAAUGUUCUGCUUUGUGGUUUAGAAAACCCGAAUAUUAGAGUGUGUUAUGCCUGUCACCAUAAAGGCCAAUGGGCAGAGUUAGGAAUGAAAUGUUAAGUUGCACUUGGCUCAGAGUCAGCGAUCUGAGAGGGCAGCAGACACAUACCUUGGAAGAAAUACUGCCACAUCUCUCUGGCCAGCAGAUUACACAGGUGAAGGAUGGGGACACAGACAUUCAUUUAGGAAUCUUGUUUUGUCCCUCUUGACAGCCAGAUUUGAGCCUUGUGAUGUCGGUAUCUCUCAUUAUCACCCCUUGUGUUCUUCUCUCAUUUUAUGGGCAUCUGGCUCCAGACACUUUUUGAAAUACUCAAUUUUAUGUGUCUUGGGCAUCAACCUUGUACUCCUUCCUCUACAGGUCUCUGGGCUGGGGGCAGGGAUUAACUCAGAACAAGUCAUUAGCAGUGACUAAAAAGCUAGUAGAAGCAUGUGUGAGCAGAGUCCUUUCUACAAUAUUAGUUACAGAUGUGCCCUUGUAAUACAGAAUACAAGGUGCUUCUUUCUAUUCAUCCCUCCUGCCCACUACAAGUCUGGAGGACGCUCCUGUGUUUGACCUAUUCAGACAUGACUGUGGAGGGUUCUUUCCUUCACCUUCUCGUCACCAUGACCACAGCGGUCAUACCUGACAUUGAUGUUUGGUGACUGUUUAUGCCCAAGAGAAUAUGUGACUUAGCUGACAAUGCUAGGCCAGAUGCUGAUAGGACCAGCAAGAGAUAGCUGAAAGAGCCAGUCUCUUCUCUGUCUAUGCAGGAUUAUGGGUUUACCAGUUUUUCUUUAAUAAUCAGCUGCCAAAAUGGUCUCUAAGUAUAAUUUAUAACUCUUGCUCAUAGUUUUAUUUCUUGAAAAUUUAUCUAUACUACUCUUUAGGGUAGUGAGUUCCUACAGUUUCGGUGACUGUGUCAGUUACGUCUCCAUGGCUUUGAUAAAAACACCAUGAACGAUGCACACCCUAGAAGAGUUUAUUUGGGCUUACAGUCUCAGGAGGGUCAGAGUCCUGGAUGGCAAGGUGCAGGCAUGGCACCAAAGCUGGAAGCCAGGGGCUUAUAUGUUGAACAACAAGCUGGAAGCAGAGAGUGUAAACCGGAACUCUGCAAAGUUCUGAAAUCUCAAAGCCUGCCCCAUACCUCUUCCCUCAAGCUUCUAAGUCUGAAAUCUACCCACACAGCACCAGCUGGGGUCCAAGUAUUCAAAUGUUCGAAACUACGGGAGGCAUUUAUCAUUCAAACCACAGCAAUUCAGUGCCUCACACACCUAUUUUUAAGAGUGUCUGUAGCCUAGGCAUGCCUUCAACAGUAGCAAUUUCCUGCCUCAUCCUCCUCAGUGCUGGGAUUACAGGUGUGAACCCUGAGCUGGGGUGGAGUUAAGUGGUGAUGCCAAGCUUAGAGGAGUUUCUUUUUUAUUUUUUUGUCAAGAAGAUCUAAGUAGGUGGAGGGAGGUGGUGAGAGCAGACAGAAAAUUCCUUAACUACCCAACACAGAUAGUUAUCAUCAUAGGCAGAGUGCAACCACUAGACCAACGACAAUCUACAAUGCUGACUGGCUCAGGAAUUGCAAUAAAAUACCUACUGUAAAUUUCAGAAACUUCGAAAGCCUCAGACUCAUCUGCCCAACUCAUUUUUAAAAAUAGGAAGCUGGAGUUAGAGUACACAUGGACUCUGAUGGGUCUGCAUGAUGCCAGGACUAGCUAAAAUCAGGAAGACACUCUUGGGUUCUAACUCCACAGUGUGAUUCAACACAGUUGAGAUUCAUUCAUAUUCUAUUUUAAUUCAUGAGUAGUGUUGCACUGGAUGAAUAUUCCAACGUACUCAUUCUCCCACUGAGGGACAUCUGGGACACCCUCUAGGUUUUUGCUCUCCCACGAACAGUUGCAAUGAGCAUUUCUGCACAAGUCUCUUUGUAGACAGAGGGUUUUACUUCUCUUGGCUAACACAGCAUGUGGGGCUGAUGGGUCAAAGGGUUGGUCUGUGUUUGACAUGAAACGGACAGGGCUGUACCCUCCAACAGUUUUACAACAGCUUCUUUUGCUCAAAGAGUAGCCAAGCGGAGACAGCAAAGGAUCGGUAAGGCCUUAACUUGGCCUCUCACCAGGGAAGCUCUGGGGUCCUGGAGGACGCCCCUCCCCCAUCACCCACUAUGGCCAUGUGGGUGAUCUCUCUAGGGAAAAGGACAGCAGGCAGCGCAUUCGAUCGCAACAGUUGUCUGAAUCUCUUUGACAAAUCUUUGUCUCCCUGUUUCUUGAAAUUCCGCUUCAUUGCGCGCAAGCCCCGGAAGUGGGAUUUCUGAAUAUGAAGACUUGAAAGGGCGGUUUCUGAAAAAGAGACCAUGGCUUGCAAAAAUCUGGUGGUAUGUCUGGGUGGCGCCACGUCCCCAACCAUGUCCUUGGCAGCUCCUAAAGACACCCAGUUUUCUUGAGCCAGGUAGUGGGGUUGCAUUUAAUGGAAAGUAGAAAUUGCCAGAAACAGGAUGCACCCGCCUUCUUUCUAACCUUUAGUUUCCUUUCCGCCUCCUCCGGGGUCACAAGGAAGACAUUCCUCCUCAAGUCUCUCCUUCUCCUCUUCACUUCCACUGACCGGCCACUUUAUACUCGUUACUAUGGUUUGAAAUUUGCCAGUGCAAGAGUAUGGGUGCCACAUUGCUAAGAAGCAGGUCCUUUAAGAGGUGAUGAGGACAUUGGAGUUGUGCCCUCAGGAAAGGAGUGUCACCACAAGAGUGGGUCUCUCAUAAAAGCCACCGUCUCUUGCCCUGCCACUUAGCUGACACUACGUGAUGUCACUCCCCUUUCCAAAGCCCCCCAGAACCCAAAGCCAGAUAAACUACUGUUUAUAACCAGUCGAUAGCAUUGCUACAGCAGCAGAAGAGACUAAGGCAGCCUUCCCCACCUUCUCCCCUGUGAAAGCCAACCGCUCACUACCCUAUCAGCCCAGCAGCGGUGUAAUUUAAGAUUUCUACAGGGUCAACUUUGCCACCGAAGUCUGUCCUGUGGGCACCGCACUGACCUCCACAGAGUGGACGGACUGGGUUUCCAAGUGUCGACAGUAAGAGCGAGCUUGAAGCCCAGAAGGAGUCUGAGAAACCACCUUGCAGUGUGUGUGGGUAACUUCAUCCUGCGGCUGUGAGCAGUGAGCAACAGGUCCCUAGACGAAAGAGCAGGAGCGCUGGCGUGCCGCACCACCCUCCCGACAGACCGCACUGGCUCUCCACCGCUUCCCGAGGGGCCUCAGUUUCCCAGUCAGGGCUGAGGGGGGGGGUGCGAGCCCAGGCGGGGGGGGGGGAGGGCCGAGCCGCCGCUGGGCCAAUGGCCGCUCCGGAACCUACACCUCCGGACGUCGGGGCGGCUGUGGAAACGGAUGUCACACGCUGGCUCGGAAGCGUCCCCGCCCGCUCGCCCGCCUCUGGAGAGGGGCGUGCACCCCGCGGCCCCCGGAGCACCCUGG